AACGAACGCUGGCGGCAGGCUUAACACAUGCAAGUCUAACGGGUGUAGCAAUACAUCAGUGGCAGACGGGUGAGUAACACGUGGGAACCUUCCUCGUUGUACGGAACAACUCAGGGAAACUUGAGCUAAUACCGUAUACGUCCGAGAGGAGAAAGAUUUAUCGCAAUGAGACGGGCCCGCGUCGGAUUAGCUAGUUGGUGGGGUAACGGCCUACCAAGGCGACGAUCCGUAGCUGAUCUGAGAGGAUGAUCAGCCACACUGGGACUGAGACACGGCCCAGACUCCUACGGGAGGCAGCAGUGGGGAAUCUUGGACAAUGGGCGCAAGCCUGAUCCAGCCAUGCCGCGUGAGUGAAGAAGGCCUUAGGGUUGUAAAGCUCUUUUGGCGGGGACGAUGAUGACGGUACCCGCAGAAUAAGCCCCGGCUAACUUCGUGCCAGCCGCCGCGGUAA
rnacentral:rRNA from 1 species